CUUAGCCACACAAAGCUGGUCGAUGAGGUGGCACUUCUCUUGGAUCUUUGCAGCCAGUGUUUUUGCCAGUUGCUUUUCAUGUCUUCUAUUAAGCUGACUUCUAACAGGCUGAAUAAGUCUGAAAGUGAAUAACAGACCCACCGAUAAGGCAAGGACAGGCGGACUCAACACCUUCUCCCAGGGGAGGCUCUGCAACAUGAGCUGGGAACACAGGCCUUUGGGCAGCAGCGAAGCCAGGACCGCACUCAGCAUCCUCAGGAUCAGCCCAAAGCCAAGCUCCACGGAGGACAGCAGCCCCUCCAUGGCACUGGCCCACCCAGGGCUCUGCCCAGUUACCGUGGAGCCACCAGCCACAACAAUCCCCAGGGGACACCCCAACAUUCCACCUGGAACCCAGCCAGCAACUGACAUCCUGGAUUGGUCAGUUACCAGGGAGGUGCUGGGACUGUGGACUCUGAGCACGCCCUCUACUGCUGAGCUACACCCACUCCCCGGAGCUGGUAUUGUCGGGUGUAGGUAGACCCAGGCCCUCCCCAGCUCCCAAUAAGAAAAACUUAAGAUCUGAAAUGUGCUCAUCCUCCGGACUGCUUUGUGUCACCCUCCUGACUUUGCUGGCACCAGAUUACAGAAGGAAGUUUAUUCUCAUCAUCCAGACACACUGGUCCUACUGAGAACUCAUUGUCAAGGCUAACCUCUCAGUGGUGUCCCGCUGUCAGAAGAGUGACUUUGCUCCGUGGAAAGCGAUCUGGUGCUUUUUCUGGCUACAGCUGCUGCACAGAGAUGAGGUAAUGAAGGUCUCAGAGUCACUUCAUGGUUACUUUUCCAUGUUCUCCGAGUCAAGAAAUCGCUGGGUCUUGGUUAAGUUGCUCUCUCCUCUACCCUUAGGAUCCAAAUUGCAGUUUUAAAGCGCAUAUCAGACGAUAGGACUGAAAAGCUUGGAAAUUUAUGCCUCGUUGCAGGGGAACAGGUGUUGUUUUGACUGGGGAGAGCCAGGGACAGCAGCUCAGAGGCCCUGUCCUCAUCGAUCACGUCUGAGUCUUGUGCGGGAGACGGUGCUAGCCGCCCUCGGCAUCUUUCCCACACGGCCUUCCGGGACAACAGCUCUUUUGCUAAAUGUGCUGUGAAGUGCUCCUGCUGGGGUAAUGCACCUCCACAGUCCUGUUCAAUGCAUGGGAACUCGAGAAUCCAAGAGUCACCUGCCCGCUCAGUCCUAUCCCAAGCCAGCAGAAUUCUUGACUUUUGCAGGGAUCGAGAACACAGAGAGCACUAUAUGUUUUCUAGAGUCGCCUGCUAAUUUGGAUCCAGUGCAGUUAAAAUUUAUGAGAUUUUUGUCUACUGUCAUGGGCAUAGAUGACGAAGAUAUUUUCAGAGUGAUUCCAUCAUAAUGUGACAUAGUUCCAGUUUGCAGGCCACUUAAAGAGUCAGAAUGAUUAAGCAGAAGCACACAGGCAUAUUCAUAGUGACCUUUGGGUCUUCCAGGGAGUGAUGCUAGCUGUUGUAACAGACAAUCCUAAAAUCUCUGUGACGUUGCACAAUUAAAGCUCAUUUUUCACUCACAUGAAGUCCAGUGGGGUAGAAGUUAAGUGCCAUAAUUCAAGUUAAGUGCCAUAAUUCAAGAAUCCAGACUUCUUUCAUGCCGUGGGGCCAACAUGUUCAAAUGCGGUCUCUAAGGUUAUAGAGUAACAGGAAGAGAGAGGGACCAGGGCAGAGGUGGCAAACUUUUUCUGUAAAGGGUUAGAUCGUUAAUAUUAUGUGUUUUGUGAGCUGCAUGGUUUUGCUGCAAUUACUCAAAUCUGGCAUUGUAACAGAAAAGCGGCUGUAACUGUACCUUUGUUUCAAUAAAACUUUAUUUACAAAAACAUAGGGUGAGCUGGGUUUAGCUCCCAGGUAGUUUGUUGACCCUGGAGCAGUCUUGUGAGGGAUGUAUUUAUGAUUCAAACAUAGGAGUAGCAUGUAUUUCUCCCACUUGUUCUGUUGGCCAGAAAUGAGUCUCACGGUCUCAGCCAAACUGCAGGAGAACUGAAAUGUAGGCUACCUGGGUGGCCAGAAGAGAAGAACAGGACAUUACGGCUUCCAGCAGCCUCUGCUGCACCUUCAAGAGUUUAACGUGAAGGGGCUCUUCCAGGAAAACCAGAAGCUUCUAAUAAUUCAACUAAAAAGACCCUUUGUUGUGGCCUGGUUCCUGUACAGUUACCUACACAUAUCUCAGAUGUACACUCUGAUGAAUUUUGAUAGAUGUCUACACCCGUGAAACCACCACCGCCAUCAAGACAACUCACAUUUCCAUCACUCCCCAAGAGGUGCAAUUUUCAAAUUCCCAAUUUAUCCCUUC